rnacentral:rRNA from 1 species
UACGGGGGGGGCAAGCGUUGUUCGGAAUUACUGGGCGUAAAGGGCUCGUAGGCGGCCAACUAAGUCGGACGUGAAAUCCCUCGGCUCAACCGGGGAACUGCGUCCGAUACUGGAUGGCUUGAAUCCGGGAGAGGGAUGCGGAAUUCCAGGUGUAGCGGUGAAAUGCGUAGAUAUCGGGAGGAACACCUGUGGCGAAAGCGGCGCACUGGACCAUAACUGACGCUGAGGCGCGAAAGCUAGGGGAGCAAACAGG